rnacentral:rRNA from 1 species
UACGUAGGGUGCAAGCGUUAAUCGGAAUUACUGGGCGUAAAGCGUGCGCAGGCGGUUAUACAAGACAGAUGUGAAAUCCCCGGGCUUAACCUGGGAAUUGCAUUUGUGACUGCACGGCUAGAGUGUGUCAGAGGGGGGUAGAAUUCCACGUGUAGCAGUGAAAUGCGUAGAUAUGUGGAGGAAUACCGAUGGCGAAGGCAGCCCCCUGGGAUAACACUGACGCCUCAUGCACGAAAGCGUGGGGAGCAAACAGG